rnacentral:rRNA from 1 species
GAGUUUGAUCCUGGCUCAGGACGAACGCUGGCGGCGUGCCUAAUGCAUGAAGUCGAACGCAGCGGCCUUGUGCCGGCUGCGUGGCGAACGGCUGAGGACACGUGGGCAACCACCCCCGGAGUGGGGGAUACCCCGUCGAAAGACGGGCAAUCCCGCAUACGCUCUACGGAGGAAAGCCGCAAGGCGCUCCGGGACGGCCUGCGGCCCAUCAGGUAGUUGGUGUGGUAACGGCACACCAAGCCAAUACGGGUUCCUGGUCUGAGAGGACGACCAGGCAGACUGGGACUGAGACACGCCCAGACUCCUACGGGAGGCAGCAGCAAGGAAUUUUCCCCAAUGGGCUACGCCUGAGGGAGCAACGCCGCGUGCAGGACGACGGCCUUCGGGUUGUAACUGCUUUUGGGGGGGACGAUGAUGACGGUACCCCCUGAAGAAGCCCCGCUAACUCCGUGCCAGCAGCCGCGGUAAGACGGAGGGGGCAAGCGUUGUCGGAAUCACUGGGCGUAAAGCGUCCGUAGGCGGUUGGAUGCGUCAGCACU